AUUGAACGCUGGCGGCAUGCUUUACACAUGCAAGUCGAACGGCAGCGCGGGCUUCGGCCUGGCGGCGAGUGGCGAACGGGUGAGUAAUACAUCGGAACGUGCCCAGUAGUGGGGGAUAGCUCGGCGAAAGCCGGAUUAAUACCGCAUACGACCUGAGGUUGAAAGCGGGGGUUCUUCGGACCUCGCGCUAUUGGAUCGGCCGAUGGCAGAUUAGCUAGUUGGUGGGGUAAAGGCCUACCAAGGCGACGAUCUGUAGCUGGUCUGAGAGGACGACCAGCCACACUGGAGCUGAGACACGGCCCAGACUCCUACGGGAGGCAGCAGUGGGGAAUUUUGGACAAUGGGCGAAAGCCUGAUCCAGCAAUGCCGCGUGUGUGAUGAAGGCCUUCGGGUUGUAAAGCACUUUUGGCGGGAACGAAAAGGACUGUGCCAAUACCACGGUUCGAUGACGGUACCCGCAGAAUAAGCACCGGCUAACUACGUG
rnacentral:rRNA from 1 species